rnacentral:rRNA from 1 species
GACGAACGCUGGCGGCGUGCUUAACACAUGCAAGUCGAACGAAGAGCGAUGGAAGCUUGCUUCUAUCAAUCUUAGUGGCGAACGGGUGAGUAACGCGUAAUCAACCUGCCCUUCAGAGGGGGACAACAGUUGGAAACGACUGCUAAUACCGCAUACGAUCUAAUCUCGGCAUCGAGGAUAGAUGAAAGGUGGCCUCUACAUGUAAGCUAUCACUGAAGGAGGGGAUUGCGUCUGAUUAGCUAGUUGGAGGGGUAACGGCCCACCAAGGCGAUGAUCAGUAGCCGGUCUGAGAGGAUGAACGGCCACAUUGGGACUGAGACACGGCCCAGACUCCUACGGGAGGCAGCAGUGGGGAAUCUUCCGCAAUGGACGAAAGUCUGACGGAGCAACGCCGCGUGAGUGAUGACGGCCUUCGGGUUGUAAAGCUCUGUUAAUCGGGACGAAAGGCCUUCUUGCGAAUAUUGAGAAGGAU